AUUGAACGCUGGCGGCAGGCCUAACACAUGCAAGUCGAGCGGAUGAAGGGAGCUUGCUCCUGGAUUCAGCGGCGGACGGGUGAGUAAUGCCUAGGAAUCUGCCUGGUAGUGGGGGAUAACGUCCGGAAACGGGCGCUAAUACCGCAUACGUCCUGAGGGAGAAAGUGGGGGAUCUUCGGACCUCACGCUAUCAGAUGAGCCUAGGUCGGAUUAGCUAGUUGGUGGGGUAAAGGCCUACCAAGGCGACGAUCCGUAACUGGUCUGAGAGGAGGAUCAGUCACACUGGAACUGAGACACGGUCCAGACUCCUACGGGAGGCAGCAGUGGGGAAUAUUGGACAAUGGGCGAAAGCCUGAUCCAGCCAUGCCGCGUGUGUGAAGAAGGUCUUCGGAUUGUAAAGCACUUUAAGUUGGGAGGAAGGGCAGUAAGUUAAUACCUUGCUGUUUGGACGUGACCAACAGAAUAAGCACGGCUAACUUCGUG
rnacentral:rRNA from 1 species